GUUGUGUCUAUUUCAUGGCUCCUGCUGUCUUUUCUCAACAUUGGGUGAGAGUUUGUGUGUGUGCUGUGGGAACCCCCUCAACCCACCUCCCAGCAUGUGAUCCACUGGAGUCAUCGCAGAUAGCAGGCUCCCAGUACUUGGCUUUGCUGCAGCCAUGUCACCCUGCUUCUGGCUGUAGAGACACCUAUUUCCAGUUGGCAUCCAGCAGAUCCAAGGCCCAGGCAUGAUUGAAAAUCAGCGCUCCUGCCUGUGAGCCGGUGAGACAGCGCGUUGGACAGGAGAUGCGUUGCCUAGGCAACACCUGUGCCCAGGUCUGAUGCAAUCAGGAUGAGUGGGACGCGAUCCGGCACGCCCACGUGCACACCACCCACCACGCCUCCCACUCCCGGUCUGCAGACAAGACAGAUGCUGGGCUAAA